UACGUAGGGUGCGAGCGUUAAUCGGAAUUACUGGGCGUAAAGCGUGCGCAGGCGGUUUUGUAAGCCAGAUGUGAAAUCCCCGGGCUUAACCUGGGAAUGGCAUUUGGGACUGCAAGGCUUGAGUGCGGCAGAGGAGACUGGAAUUCCUGGUGUAGCAGUGAAAUGCGUAGAUAUCAGGAGGAACACCGACGGCGCAGGCAGCGUCCUGGCCGCUUGCUGACACUGAGGCACGAAAGCUGGGGGAGCAAACAGG
rnacentral:rRNA from 1 species